CCUGAGAAACCCAAAAGAUCGAAUGGGGAGAUUCAUCGUCAGCUCAUUUUAUAUAUAUGCUAGUUAUGAUAUGGGUUACUAACUUGUAGUAUUGCCUGUAACAUUCUUGUAUAUUUAAUUGUAAGAUGUUGUCGGCGUGCACUUCUCCCCUAGUAGGACGUCGCGACCCGUUGAGUGUUUCGGUCUACGGCCCAAGUGGAAGCUUUUAAUGAAUUUUAUUUAUUGAAAACCCUUGGUGUUUCCUGACUGGCACUCGUCGGUAUUCGUAUGGUAUUGAUCAGCCGCAUAUUAUAUGCGUUCGUAUCUGUCGCAAGCGAGGUUAGUUACUGAUAGUGCGGACCCAGUGCCGUCGUUGGUGCUAAUCAGCUGUUGGUUGUACAGAACUCUAGAACUGGCUCGUUGAAAUACCGGUCGGCGAUGCUACUGCUUUGGG
rnacentral:rRNA from 1 species